UUUAAUGACGUUUUCUAAAAUAAACGCCACAAAAUUUUCUCCAUUCCCCGCCCUUUUCUUUCACGCAAACUUUUCCCCUUUCUCAAAUCUCCUCGUCUUCUCUCUUUCUCAAUUCCCAUUCUCCUUUGCCUUUACCAUUUGUCCCUUUCUCAAAUCUUCUUUCCGUUUUUGUGUUUUCCUUUUCAAACCAGCACCCAGUCCUCGUCGCUUCUAGUUCCUCAUCACAAUUUUUGAGAAAUGUGGUUCCACUGCUAAUAACUUGAAGUGGAAGGUGAGGCUUGGUUAUGUUGAUUGCGAUUCUGAGAAGUAUAUCAUUUUCCCAAGCAGUAGUUGUUGCUCUCUUCAAUAGUCUUGCAAAGGGUAGGGUUGAUAUCUUCAUCAAUGGUAUGACUUCCUUUCACAAUUUGAAAUUAUGACCUUUACCAAAUAGAAACUUGAGAUAAGUUUUUUGAUCUCAUGAUCCAAAUAUACAUAGCUAAAAAUGACAAAAUCAAUGAUUUAGAAGCAAACUCAAAGAAAUGAACAAGCAAACUAAAACAAAAAAUUAAUAGGGUAGUAAAGCAAUAGCAUGAAAAUAAAUUAAACAAAAAUUUAAAACACUUGAUUCAAGUAACAAGUGCCUCCUAGGUGAAUGCUUAACCUAGAAGCAACCUUGUACCAUCCUUAUCAACCCCUAACAGCCAUGAAAAAUCAAAGUAACAACAACCUAAAGCAAACAUCAAAAUCUGGAAACAGGGUUCUGGACAACAUCUGAUUAAAAUUUGGUUUCCACUCUCAUUUGAUAGUAUUUGAUCUCCAAUUUUUUUGUGGAAGUAACUAACUAAUAUAUGAACAUGCACAUAAAUUUUCAAGAGCAUUGGACAUCAUUUAGAACUUGAAAUUUAACCAAAAUUGAAGCAAUACAAAAUCUAGAAUUUCAGCUUGGAAAACAGAAUAGCUGCUACUAAAUCUUAGAUCUAGCUCAAAAUAUAUGGAAUUUUGCUCUCAAAUUUUAUAGAACCUUAGAUAACUCAUAGAUGAACAAGUACUAAAAAGCUUGAUUCAAAUUGAAACCAAAUUGAACUUGAAAAGUAACAAAAACUAAAGCAAAAUAAAAUUUAAAAACAGAAUAACAUUCUGGAAACAGAUUUUAAAAAAAACUAAAUUUGCUAGCUUAAUUAGAACUAUUUGAUCAUGAGGGAGCACUAUAAAUCAAGCUGACAAAGUAGAGGAACAACAUAUAAAAGCUCAUGAUUUGUUGAAACUGAAAUCAACUUGAAAAUUAAUUAAACAGUAGCCAGCAUCAAACCUGGAAACUCAAAAACUUUGUUGAAUAGAAAUUGAAAUUGCAAGCUUAAAUGGAAAAUGUUUGCUUAAAGGAACCAAAGAAGAGCUAAAUAACAAGUAAAGGAAUGUAAAAGAAACUUAAAAUAAAUUUAAAUCAAAAGGAAAAAUAAAGAACAAAGAUUGAACAGCCAAGAACAUAGCAGUUAAGGAGUUACCAGCACUUGGAGUUCCAACCAGAAAAAAAAUGCUGAGGCAUGUAUGAAGGGGGGCUCUUUUAUAGCUGAAUGAAAGCUUUUUUAAUGUUUGAACCCAGCUUUAAAUGAUGCAAUCUCAACCUUCAAAAAUGCCAAGUCAGCUAAGGGAUAUUUUGGAAGAUAGACAGUUGCCCAUAACCGUUUCUACACUAGCUGAAAUUUUCAGCUAGCUUCCUCUCCCAUGUGUUGCUUGUUUUGUUGGUCAAAUGAGGUGUGUUAUAAUAUUCCUGUUUGAGGUGAGUUUUCAUCCUUCUAAAGUCUUCAAAAGUUGCAUUUUGAGCUGUCCAAAUUGACCCAACACUAGUCGGCAGCAAAUCUUAACAAAGUUGGCAACAUUUUAGGUUCAACUUGGUGUAAGUCUUUUUCGUCCAAAAUUUGAGCAAGAAAAUUUGUAGCAUAUGGGGGCUUUUUGUGCAUAAGCAGCUGGCCAUUUCCUUUCCUUUUUUUUUCAUGUGCAUUUGCUUGGAAGAGCUUACCUAUUUCAUCAAAGACUUUGGAACCCAUGUGCACACUGCCAGCAUCUUUUUCUUAGUUGCAGCAGGUAUUAACUUUGAGCUGCUAUGCUAGCUGUGUUUCCUUCCUUUUGCAGCACAUGUGAUGACAUCUUACGUGGACCUAUGAUAAUUCUAUAAAAAAUAAAAUUAUCAAAUGGCAGUUACAAAUUUAUGAUGCUUCCUUAACUUUGUGAAUGGUAAUACUGACUAGUUUUUUGAUGCUUUUUGAUAUCAAAUAUUGAGAGAUAUAAUACCAAACAUUGAUCAAAAGAGAGAUAUGGCUGCGUUCCUGCUAGAGGUGAUAGAGUAUGUCCGAUAUUUACAAGAGAGGGUUCAAAAAUAUGGGGGUUCAUAUCAGAGAUAGAGUUCUUAGCCCACAAAAAUCAAAAGCCAAGGGAUCCAAAGUUUCAUUUUGAUGACAUAUGUGUCUUUGAGCUAAUCAAGCACCCUGACAUCUUAAUGAAAGAAACAAACUAGGAGGAUGGUUUCCAUCUUUGAAUAUGAUGAGCUUUCUACCUGUCAAGCUUUAUGAUGAUGCUUCAGUGGGAAGGAGAAGAGAAUAGGUCACCUUUGUUUUGUUUUGCAGCCUUGUUUAUCGUGAUAGAAAAGGACAAUGUUAGAAAAAAAGUGACUCUUCUAGUUUUAUAGGUUUUCUUCCUACUAUGAAAGCUUGUGGAUAAGAAACCAUCCUAGUGUACAUACUUCUAAAGACCUCUAGCUAUUGAAUGCCUAAUCCAACUCGUGAUGGUUUAAUUUAGAAAUCAUAGUUUUCAAGUGUCAGGAAAAAAAUCGAAAGGAAUUACAGCUCAGAAAAGUGUGAUGUCAGUGGAGUCAGACCUUGACAUAUACUUUUGUUCUUCAGCGGUUACAGUUCAAAUGAUUAUGGUAUCAAAUAGAGAGUUCAGCCUCUCCAGCACUUGCAUGUUUUUUAUAUCUUUCUUAUGAUAAUUCCUAGAAGAAGAGUUGGCUAGGCAAAUAUCAUAGCCAUUCUUUAAGAGUUUUUAUACUUAAAUUGUAGUCUUGUGUCUUUACUAACAAUGUAUAUGUUUUUUAGAAUAUGUUUUUUAAAUGUCAAUAAAAUAGAUUUCUUGUUAUAUUUACCAUAUAUGGUUGUUAUGCUUUUGAUAGCUAUGACUUUAGUCAGCACCAUGAUUUGGGAACAAUUGCUGACAUAGAAUAAUUGAGUUAAAGAUGAAAGAAUUAGUCAUCUAUUCACUUGUGAAAGUAGUUGAGAUAACAAUCAGAUAAUUUACUAGACUUGUUUGGAUAUUCACUCAUAGAAAGUGACAAAAAUGAAGAUGAGGAAAUUAUCCAUUUGCUUACUUGUAAGAAGUGGCCAAGAGAAA